GCUCUAAUAUCAUUUAUUAAUACAUUUUCUUUCGUCGAUCAAUUUCUGAUUUAUUUCAGAUAGUGGAAUUUAUUGCAGAGCUUUUAAAAAGUAGAAAUGAAGUGGAGGAAAAAGAAUUGGUUAACUCAGGAACCAUUGGACGAAUUGUUGACAUUUUUUUUUUGAGUAUGGUACCGUACCAUAAUGCAUUACACCAUCACAUAGAAAGUAUCAUAUUAUCAUGUUUGGAGAGCAAAGCUGAUGCUAUUGUUGAUCAUCUUCUCCAAGUAGAUAAACAAUGUGUUCUUUGUGCUGAAGGAAAUCAGCGAACAGUACCUGCGACUGGAAAACGGGCGACACGGGUAGGAAACAUUGACCAUAUUACCCGAGUUGCUAAUAAACUCAUUCACUUGGUUCAUAACCAAAGCCACAUUCUGGCACAUCUUCAGGUUCGUUUUCUAUACAUUCGUGGAACAAGGUUCAUGGUUUUCAUAGUAAGUACUAAGUAAUCUAUGAAACUUUGGCAACUUGAAUAUUAAUAUUAAAUACCAAAAGGAUCUGUAGCAGAAUAUAUAUAUAUAUACUGCUACAACAUUGAUUGUAACAAGCUCUUGGUCUUUGAAUUUAUGUUAUGGUGCUGCUACAACAUUGAUUGUGACGUAGGAGGGGGGUUUAUUUAGCAAUUUAAUAUUUUAGCCAGUUUAUUAUUAUUUUUUCACUUUGUUAAUUUCGGCCCAUUAGGGUUUUGUCUUUUCCCUAUUUAAGCUAAACGGUUGUAGACUAACAGACAGUUUUUUCAUUCAAUAAAAAUAUUUGAUUAAGUGUAAA